AAGGAAUGUAUUUUAAACUAGGGAAUUUUCGGUCCUUUUUUGUAAUGUAGAUCUUGAAGUAAAAAUUCUUUUGGCCAUGCACGAUGGACACAAUAAUAUUUGAAUGUUUAUUCACACUACAACUCGAUUUUUUGGCUACAUUUUUACACUUUUUCAAUUUAAAUUUUUCUCAAUAGUUUAUUAACUAUUUUCAAUAUAUGGUACAUAUUAUAAAAAUCAUAAAAUUACAUUGUUCAUAUGUGUUGACUAUUGCUAUUGCUAGCAACAACUCAAGAGAGUCACGUGUUAAUGUGUAGUCUUGCUCCCGUAUGGUAUGUUGAUUUUUGAUAAUUUUCUAAUCAUUACUUAUAUUUGUUAUUAAAUUGAUCUUUAAAAAAAAAUGGAGGGACGAGAAAGAAAAUAGGGGAGGAGAUUAUAAUGUUGGGAAUCGAACCCUCACCAACAAGGUAGAGCCCAAGUAACUAACCAACUAAGCUGCUAAAAUUCUCUCUAUUAAAUUGAUCUCUACUAAAGUUAUUUUAUUAAUUAUUAUGCUUAAAUAAAUUUAAACUACAUAUUUAUAUUUUAAUAUAAUUUAAAAUAAUAACAACCGUUAUAACUUAAAACACUUUAGACAUGAUAUACAUUCACACAGUAUACGAAUCUUAAAAAUCAUAUAACUCACAUAUGUUGAUCAUAGUAACAACUCAAUUCACAUAUUAAUGUUGUAGUGUCUUGACACUAUUAUAUUAUGUCAAUUUGAUAACUUGCGAUCAAAUCAUUACUUAUUGUUUUGCGAAAAUUUUGACCUUUUAAGAUACCUUAAACGAUCCAAAACAGAAAAAUCAUUUAAAAUUUAAAGAUUCUGAGCAAGCAAUUUCUAUUAACGUUCUAGGAAGGUUUAAGACACCUAAAACAUCCGCUAGCUUGAGGUUAUCCGAACUGUAUGAAAACAUCUUUUGAUUAAUCUUCAAAACAGAUUGAUUUGUUGAAAAGUGAUCAAUUUUUUAUCAAAUACUUGUGUAAAAUAAAUUUAGGCGACUUAGUUUGAAUUUUAACUAGGUCUAAACAAAACUAAUAAUCAAAUAAACACAUAAAAGGAAAAAGAGAGGUGAAAGUAAAAGAUUUAAGCCAUUGGGCUCGAAUCAACGUGACCUGUCCUAGUCUAAUUUAAUUGGACUUUCGAUCAAUUUCACCUGUCCUAAUCUAGUUUUCGAGCCUUUUGGCUCGAGUUUUGCUCCAUCCGUAUUAAAUUUACAACUUUGACUUCGAGGUCCAAAAUGAAUAAAUAAUGAAAUAAAGGAAUAAAUAAAUACAACAAUAAAUGACUAAAUAAAUAAACAAAUACAUGAAAAAUUAGACUUUCAAGUCUCUUGGCCGCUUCAAAGAUGAACUUUAACUCAUUUUUCUUCUUUCGACUCUUUGUAUCCAUAUGCCAUGUGAUUGUCUUCUGAAUUGUCUUUCAAAAGUCUUCUAAAAAGGAGUGGGCCUCAAUGGCCCAUUGCGCAAUGCAAGAGGAAAGAGUCCCUUUGGACUCACAAACGAGUUCAUGUAAAGAAAAAGAUAAAGGAAUUAAUAUCCAUUCAAAGCACAAAAUGACAUGCUUCAAGGUAAAAUAAAAUAUCAAAAGCUAAUUUUCGAACGACAAUGAUGGGCAUACUCAUGCAUAUAUGAUAAGAAUGAGAGUCAAAAGAUGAAAGGCAGAGCAAGAACACAACUCGAGUAUAUAGCUAAUCAAAGGGAGUAAAAAGACUAAAGUGAGAGUUUAACAUCUCUAAAGUAAACACCGUUUGAGGAUCGCACUAUGCACAAUUCGAAAAUAAAUAAUUCUAAUUAGCCAUAAAAGUUGGAACAAGCCUUUAAGGCACCGAAAAGGGAAAGCACGGAUGUUUUACAGAGAAAAGGGGAAAAGAAAAGGAGAACAAAGAUGAAAGGGCAAAUUAUGAGUUUCAAAUCAACGGAAACUUUUCUUUGAUCACGGCCUUACAAAAUCCUUAAAGGUCUUAGGCCAUGAGCAUGCAUAGGCAAAAAUAUUGUCGAGAUAACUAUAUUCAAACAAGCGACAACUUGGAUUCUACUAAUCAUAGCCAACACAAGGUACCCAAACCCAUUAAACAAGUGAUUCAAAUAUCGAAGAAAUAAUGACGUAGAAGACCGCGCUUAGCAAAUGGUGUUAAAUAACCAACAAGAAGAAAAUUUUCAAUCCAUUUUAAUGAAAUAGUUCUAACAUUGAAGCUUCUAUACCCACAAAUCCUUAGGACCGCUUAUAACAUCUCAAAUACCAUAAGACACAAGCAUAUGUACCAUAGCAAAAAUCUAAGAAACUUAACACAACAUAUUUGAUGUUUUGCACCGAUGUAACAAAAAGAACAGUAGGCAAAGGGUAAUUCUACCACUAGUGCAUAUGAUUACUUUUAUGGCAGGCGCAAAAGAGGAUAAUUUUCAAGCUUCUGAACUCAACUAAACAUCCAAAAAAGUAGCAUUACUCAAACAAAAUCUACCGCCUGUUAAAGUUCAUGGAAAACAGAAAAGGGAUGAAAGCUUGUGUAGAGUAACAACUAACACCAACAAACAAAUCAUUCAAUACAAAAAAAAAUAAAAAAAAAUGGAACGAACAAUUUAUCAAGAGAAGAAACAAUAUGUGGUUAGACUUAAGCAAAAGUUUCGUCUAGUGGCACGGUGAUUCAAAACAAAAUUUAAACUAAGAGAAAAAAUCGAGAAGCUAACCAAAAAACAGUGAGCACAAGACUACGACUAAAACAACGACGUGUUAAAAUAUACUACAAACAAGAUUUUCAUCACGUAAUCUAUGGCCUCAAGACCUAGAAACAACAGCUAAUCCCCAGCAAGCAAAGCUACGACUAUAAAACUACGACUACAAAGAAAGAGGCUAAGAGGAAAACGAUGACAGAACUAAAGAGAAAAGGAAUGUUUACCUCUUUCGGGGGAGCAAAAUGAGACAACGAACUAACGUUGGGAUAUCGAUCACCACCGAAGGACUUUGCCGCGACUACGAAAGCUCCAAAGCAGUCCCGACCCUUCUCCGGGAAAAGAAAAAUUAUACUCCAAUAGAAAGUUAACUCGUUUUUCUCAACUCAGAAUAAUUUUCACCUCCCUUUUUCCCUUUUUUCUUAUGUUUUUUUGCUUCGAAAAAUCCCCCCCUCGGCGCAACAGUGAGCUCCCCUUUUAUAGGAAACCAUUGAGGGUCUCCUCUUAUGUUGGGACGAUGUGGGAAUCCCCAAAAACAAGGGUAAUUUUGGGAACUUAUAAUAGGGAAUUCAAAAUUUGAACUCAAGAUAGCGUUUUCCACCAACAAAUUGUAUGAAUUUUGGGAUUUUUUGAACAAAUUUGAAAAGAUUGGCCAAUAAAAUUGGGGAAAUCCGAAUCAGGACCAAGGACCAAUGAAAUCCCAACAAAUACGUAUGGAUUGUACGAAUUUGACCAUUGGGGAAGCCACCUCGGCAUUUCUAGCAUAUUCUCGAACAAAGCCCGCGUGGGACGCCUGAGGAAAAUUAAAACCAGUUGAUUGCGGGUUGUUGGUAUCGGGUUGCUGUUCGGAUUGGAGGUCGGGUCUGGUUUCGGGUCGGCGUUGAUCGGUUUUUGUGCGUUGUUGUCGAUAUUGUUGUUUGAUCUGUUUGUUGUUGCUGUGCGUUAUUUCCCUUAAAGGAGAAGAUGGAGUAAAGUGGGCCGGAUCAUGGACUGGUUUGGGCUGAAAUGGUUGAAAUGGGUUUUGCUGAAUCAAAAAAGGAUUAGAGGGGUUUGGGCCGAUCCAGAUCAAUUAGUAUUGGGCCUGUUUAUUUCAAAUGCCAUUGGGCUACUGGUUAAUUUUAGGGUUAAAUUGGUAGAUUAGGAAUGUCAAAAUUUUGGGGGUUAUUUAAAACAUAACCCCCAAUUAAAAUUUAGGAUUUAGCCGAUUUUAAUUAAUAUUUGAUCAAAUUGAAAAUUAAAUUGGUCAAUUGAAUUGCAAUUGUGGUCAAUUUGAUUUUAAUUGUGGUCGAAUUUAAUAAAUUGACUAGAUCGAAUCGAAAUUCGAUAUGAAUUAAUACCUCGUUCAAUCCCGAGCUUCUUGAUUUAAUAAACUCA
rnacentral:lncRNA from 1 species